GAAAAAGAAAGCAUCGUCGUAGAACAGCAAAGGCAGUCCUAUCACCGGAGACCAAGAACAAUACUUGGAAAAAAUAGGAUCAGGAAGUUCAGUAGACGAGGAGGAAGAAGGAAGAUUUCAAGGCGCAGCUCAUGUCAAAUUCACUGUAAAGGUGAACAAUACCAGCCAAGAAUUACAGUUCCUAAUAAUUUCUUUUAAAAGAAUUAUAAUUAGUGCACAAAGAAGAAAAUACAGUCCCUAAUGAUUUAUUUUUAGUUUGAACAACAGCUUGAAACAAAUGAUAGUACUGACGUCUUAGUCAUAGGUGAACAAUCAGAAGAGGUCAACAAACAAAACAUAUCACUACGAAAACAUUCACACAUCAAUAAAGAUGUAUCUAUCACUGGUAUUUAAAAUUAACUCUUUCUUUGAACAGCCGCAUGAUAAAGAAGAGCAACAAACAACAGGAUAUCAGGAGGCGGCACCGGCGACAACAACCAAAGAUGCGG
rnacentral:lncRNA from 1 species